UCCGGAGAGGGAGCCUGAGAAACGGCUACCACAUCCAAGGAAGGCAGCAGGCGCGCAAAUUACCCACUCCCGGCACGGGGAGGUAGUGACGAAAAAUAACGAUACGGGACUCAUCCGAGGCCCCGUAAUCGGAAUGAGUACACUUUAAAUCCUUUAACGAGGAGCAAUUGGAGGGCAAGUCUGGUGCCAGCAGCCGCGGUAAUUCCAGCUCCAAUAGCGUAUAUUAAAGUUGUUGCGGUUAAAAAGCUCGUAGUUGAAUCUGUGUGUCACGCUGUCGGUUCACCGCUCGUCGGUGUUUAACUGAUACGCUCGUGACACGUCCUACCGGUGGGCCUGUGUCUUUGGGCCGCUUGUCGGUGCUUAGCGCGGGUCCUACUUUAAUCCCAUCGCGGUGCUCUUUACCGAGUGUCGAGGUGGGCCGGUACGUUUACUUUGAACAAAUUAGAGUGCUUAAAGCAGGCAAUUAUCGUCUGAAUACUGUGUGCAUGGAAUAAUGGAAUAGGACCUCGGUUCUAUUUUGUUGGUUUUCGGAACUCCGAGGUAAUGAUUAAUAGGGACAGAUGGGGGCAUUCGUAUUGCGACGUUAGAGGUGAAAUUCUUGGAUCGUCGCAAGACGAACAGAAGCGAAA
rnacentral:rRNA from 1 species